CCUACGGUUGGCAGCAGUGAGGAAUAUUGGUCAAUGGGCGCGAGCCUGAACCAGCCAAGUCGCGUGAGGGAGGACGGCCCUACGGGUUGUAAACCUCUUUUGCCGGGGAGCAACGGGCGUCACGUGUGGCGUCACUGAGAGUACCCGGAGAAAAAGCAUCGGCUAACUCCGUGCCAGCAGCCGCGGUAAUACGGAGGAUGCGAGCGUUAUCCGGAUUUAUUGGGUUUAAAGGGUGCGUAGGCGGAUCGUUAAGUCAGUGGUCAAAUUGAGGGGCUCAACCCCUUCCCGCCAUUGAAACUGGCGAUCUUGAGUGGAAGAGAAGUAUGCGGAAUUCGUGGUGUAGCGGUGAAAUGCUUAGAUAUCACGAAGAACUCCGAUUGCGAAGGCAGCCUACUAAACUGCCACUGACAUUGAUGCUCGAAAGUGUGGGUAUCAAACAGGACUAGAUACCCGAGUAGUC
rnacentral:rRNA from 1 species